UACGUAGGGUGCAAGCGUUAAUCGGAAUUACUGGGCGUAAAGCGUGCGCAGGCGGUGGUGCAAGACAGAUGUGAAAUCCCCGGGCUUAACCUGGGAAUGGCAUUUGUGACUGCACGGCUAGAGUGUGUCAGAGGGGGGUAGAAUUCCACGUGUAGCAGUGAAAUGCGUAGAGAUGUGGAGGAAUACCGAUGGCGAAGGCAGCCCCCCUGGGAUAACACUGACGCUCAUGCACGAAAGCGUGGGGAGCAAACAGG
rnacentral:rRNA from 1 species